AAAUGCGAUAAGUAAUGUGAAUUGCAGAAUUCAGUGAAUCAUCGAAUCUUUGAACGCACAUCGCGCCCGCCAGUAUUCUGGCGGGCAUGCCUGUUCGAGCGUCAUUUCAACCAUCAAGCCCCCGGCUUGUGUUGGGGACCUGCGGCUGCCCGCAGGCCCUGAAAAACAGUGGCGGGCUCGCUGUCACACCGAGCGUAGUAGCAUACAUUCUCGCUCAGGGCGUGCUGCGGGUUCCGGCCGUUAAACGACCUUCAUAACCCAAGGUUGACCUCGGAUCAGGUAGGAAGACCCGCUGAACUUAAGC
rnacentral:misc_RNA from 1 species